AACGCUAGCUACAGGCUUAACACAUGCAAGUCGAGGGGCAGCAUGAUUGAAGCUUGCUUCAAUUGAUGGCGACCGGCGCACGGGUGAGUAACACGUAUCCAACCUUCCGUACACUCAGGGAUAGCCUUUCGAAAGAAAGAUUAAUACCUGAUGGUAUCUUAAGCACACAUGUAAUUAAGAUUAAAGAUUUAUCGGUGUACGAUGGGGGUGCGUUCCAUUAGGUAGUAGGCGGGGUAACGGCCCACCUAGCCUACGAUGGAUAGGGGUUCUGAGAGGAAGGUCCCCCACAUUGGAACUGAGACACGGUCCAAACUCCUACGGGAGGCAGCAGUGAGGAAUAUUGGUCAAUGGACGAGAGUCUGAACCAGCCAAGUAGCGUGAAGGAUGAAGGUCCUACGGAUUGUAAACUUCUUUUAUAAGGGAAUAAAACCUCCCACGUGUGGGAGCUUGUAUGUACCUUAUGAAUAAGCAUCGGCUAACUCCGUGCCAGCAGCCGCGGUAAUACGGAGGAUGCGAGCGUUAUCCGGAUUUAUUGGGUUUAAAGGGAGCGCAGACGGGUCGUUAAGUCAGCUGUGAAAGUUUGGGGCUCAACCUUAAAAUUGCAGUUGAUACUGGCGUCCUUGAGUGCGGUUGAGGUGUGCGGAAUUCGUGGUGUAGCGGUGAAAUGCUUAGAUAUCACGAAGAACUCCGAUUG
rnacentral:rRNA from 1 species